rnacentral:rRNA from 1 species
AUUGAACGCUGGCGGCAGGCCUAACACAUGCAAGUCGAACGAGCGGCGGACGGGUGAGUAAUGUCUGGGAAACUGCCGGAUGGAGGGGGAUAACUACUGGAAACGGUAGCUAAUACCGCAUCCUAUCGGAUGUGCCCAUAUGGGAUUAGCUAGUAGGUGGGGUAACGGCUCACCUAGGCGACGAUCCCUAGCUGGUCUGAGAGGAUGAACAGCCACACUGGAACUGAGACACGGCCCAGACUCCUACGGGAGGCAGCAGUGGGGAAUAUUGCACAAUGGGGGCAAGCCUGAUGCAGCCAUGCCGCGUGUAGGAAGAAGGCCUUAGGGUUGUAAAGUACUUUCAGUGAGGAGGCGUUACCCACAGAAGAAGCACCGGCUAACUCCGUGCCAGCAGCCGCGGCAAUAC